AAUUAUACAUUAAAAGAACAGUUCAUUCCCCAAAUGAUUUUGUCCACCCAUUGAGGAACUAGGUCUAAAAGCUCCAGUGUGUGCCAGAUGCCAGUCUAUCGCCCAUACAACAGAUUGCUGUAGCUCAGUGAACAGUGCAUCGGAAGAGAUAAUUCCCGAAGCAGAUCCAGCAGGGUGUCCAGUUCCAGCAUUUCAGGAGUUAAUAAUGGAUUAGAG